rnacentral:rRNA from 5 species
CCUACGGGAGGCAGCAGUGGGGAAUAUUGGACAAUGGGCGAAAGCCUGAUCCAGCAAUGCCGCGUGAGUGAUGAAGGCCUUAGGGUUGUAAAGCUCUUUUACCAGGGAUGAUAAUGACAGUACCUGGAGAAUAAGCUCCGGCUAACUCCGUGCCAGCAGCCGCGGUAAUA